rnacentral:rRNA from 1 species
CAGUCGCCACGGUAAUACGAAGGGGGCUAGCGUUGUUCGGAAUUACUGGGCGUAAAGCGCACGUAGGCGGAUAUUUAAGUCAGGGGUGAAAUCCCAGAGCUCAACUCUGGAACUGCCUUUGAUACUGGGUAUCUUGAGUAUGGAAGAGGUGAGUGGAAUUCCGAGUGUAGAGGUGAAAUUCGUAGAUAUUCGGAGGAACACCAGUGGCGAAGGCGGCUCACUGGUCCAUUACUGACGCUGAGGUGCGAAAGCGUGGGGAGCAAACAGGAUUAGAUACCCGCGUAGUCCCUGUCUCUUAUAA